CAGCAAUCACUCACACCCCUGCAGUUACUGUCCUUUGUUCCAGUUUCUUUCACGUAUCCUGUGGGCUGGAGAGGCUAUCUCUUGAGCCAGCUGAAGACAAAAUGGAGAGGUCUCCCACGGGCUUACAUAGACUUUCUUUUGUGGGUGGAGACCUCCUCCUCUCUCCUAGUCAGAAUCCAGCUCCCUGUUGGAGUUUUGGAGUCACAUGUCCAGGCAUGACUCAGUUUCUUACCAGCCUGGCCACAUUCCCAUGAAAGCUCAGAUACGGAUUGGCGUCUCCCAGUUCAUUGUUAGCUUAGGUAUUUCUUGUUUGGACACUUAAUGAGAAUAGUCUUUUCUCAGGAAGCUGACCAACUGAGGCUACUUAAAAGUAAACAAGUACAUAGCCAAUAUUCAUAACUUUGAGUACAAAAAUGAUACAUGCAUACAAAUAGGAUGAAUAUAUCCAGUGGAUCAUAACCUUUUCAGAGCGAUGUUACAUGGCAUAUCUAGCAUAAAACAUAUUUAAGUUAUGUCAUAUUUACUUUCAUAAGCAUAUUUCCAUAAAGCAUUAUGUGGUGCAACAUCACAGUGGGGUCGCCACCAAGGAUCGCGUCCAGCUCUUUGUAGAACCUGCUGCUCGUGGGCGCAGCCCCUGAGCUGUGGUUUGUCUCCCGUGCCUUGUGGUAGGCUUUCUGAAGCUCCUUCACUUUGACCUUGCACUGCAGUGUGUCCCAGUCAUGGCCCCUUUCUGUCAUGCAUCAUGAAAUCUGUCCGUAGGUAUCAUAAUUCCUAUGGCUGGAGCGCAGCUGGGACUGGACAGCCUCCUCUUCCCAAAUGCUGAUGAGGUCCAGCAGCUCGGCAUUGCUCUAAGCAGGGGAUCGCCUGGUGCGUGAAGCAGGCAUAGUUACCUGGAAAGAUGCUUGGAGACCACUGCACGAGUCACCAAACAAACAGGAAGAGGACUUUCAAAAUUCCCAAGGAAUUUAAGGGUGGGGCUCAUAGUUGGUCACCUGAGGACAGGGCAAUAGAGUUCAAACCGAUGACCAGAGAGACGAGAAGAGGCAUUGCGGAACACCUCCCGGAGGCCAAUCACAGCACUGUAAUUGACCAGUGUGUCUACACUGGCACUGCAGCGCUGUAGCCCCGGCACAGAAAGCUCUACACCUCUAGGGGUGUGGUUUUUUGUUUUUUUUUGUUUUUUUACAGCGCUGCAGCUGUGCAGUUUGUGCUCACUAAAUAGCUUGGCAGUGUGUACACCUCGGGAAUUACACUGCAGAAAGCUGCUUUACUGUGCAGAAACUUGCCAGCGUAGACAAGGCCUCAGUUGCUUGGUGUUCCUUCUCUCUUUCCACCUAUUGCUGUGUUGCUUCCUGCCCUCUGCUUUCUACUUUACUUCAUCUCUCCCUCUCUAGUUUCCUUUCCUUAUUCCUAAAUCAUCUUUUCCCCUCUUUUAUUAAAUGUCCUGCAGGGCUUAGCUUUAAAAUCAGUCCUUUCUAAGUUGCUUACAAAAUCCUGUUUUUGUUUUGUUGUCUUCAGACUCCUAUCUCUGAGAUAUUACCACAUAGGUAGGCUCUAAACUAGACAGCUGGUUCUUUCCAGUCAUUGCAUCUUUUUUUUUUUUUUUAAACAGCCAUUUCCCUUUAUAGUGUGUCUAUAGUAUGCUUACAAAUGGCCAGCAGGGCUUAGCUGUUAUAUAGCUUUUUAUAACUGUGAUGUUGCUAUAAUAGAGAUGGAGGAGCCACUGAAAAACAGAAUCUUGUAAAUGGGUGGACCUGCAGUUUUUAUAGGCCGCUGUGUAAUCUUUGCCAGGACACAUUUUGUACAUCCUUUUUUCUAAUCUAGUAGAGUAGUCUCCAAAGUGGGGUGCAUGGAUGACCAUCUCUGGGGGCGGGUGGCAGGAGGAGUGCCGCCGAAGGAGCGCCGCCUGCACGGGGGCAGCUGUGCUCCUGGACCUUUGAUUAUUCGGUGGCAUGCCAGCGGCAGCUCUUCUUUGGUUUUGUUUCCCUAGAGCGGGCCCUGGGGGUGUGCCAUUCAAAAAGUUUGGAAACCACUGAUCUAGUACACUAUUGUUGGUACAAUUCUAGUCUGUUUAAAAUAGCUGCUUUUAGGAUAGAACAUCUGCAAAAGUAUAGGCUUCAUCAAGUUAACUGAUAAUUUUAUGGAAUUCUCUUGCUUUUCAGAUGACAUUUAUGAUGAAAGAAUAUAAUGUUGGGAGAAGAAAGGUUAAUUCUGAACUUCUUCAGUCCCACCCAGAUUAUCCUCCAGAUGUUUGGAGAGAUUUUUGUGCCGAUACUUUAAAAAAAAAAAAUCUGCAAAAAGGAGGCUGUGGAUAGAUAGGAUAGGUGGGGUGUCUUUGUUAUGGAAAAUUAACAUAGGAUGUAUACUAUGUAAGUGGCUUGAGUGCUUUGUUUAAAAGUCAGGCAACUCCUUCGAAACAUGGCUCUACACUCUAACUUCUUACAGUGAGAACAAUUAUUUUCCACAAAAAUAAGUCUGCAUUUCAAGUCUUGGGACCUGCUAAUUCUACUGUGUAGCUUUUAAUGUCAUAAAGCCACUACAAAUGGCAAGAAAAUCAAUUCUUUUUGAAUUUUGUAAUUAUGAUAUACGUACAACAUUUUAUGCAGUUUUGGGCAGCUCCAGUACUCAAGAGAUGUCAAUAAAUGAAUGUUUGUA